rnacentral:rRNA from 1 species
AACGAACGCUGGCGGCAUGCCUAACACAUGCAAGUCGAACGAGACCUUCGGGUCUAGUGGCGCACGGGUGCGUAACGCGUGGGAACCUGCCCUUAGGUUCGGAAUAACUCCCCGAAAGGGGUGCUAAUACCGGAUAAUGUCUUCGGACCAAAGAUUUAUCGCCUUUGGAUGGGCCCGCGUUGGAUUAGCUAGUUGGUAGGGUAAAAGCCUACCAAGGCGACGAUUCAUAGCUGGUCUGAGAGGAUGAUCAGCCACACUGGGAGUGAGACACGGCCCAGACUCCUACGGGAGGCAGCAGUGGGGAAUAUUGGACAAUGGGCGAAAGCCUGAUCCAGCAAUGCCGCGUGAGUGAUGAAGGCCUUAGGGUUGUAAAGCUCUUUUAACCGGGAUGAUAAUGACAGUACCGGGAGAAUAAGCGCCGGCUAACUCCGUG